GAAGAAAUCGUAGAAACAACGGGAUAUCACCCGAGAUGAAAAGAACGUUUUCUUUGAAAAAUAUAUCGAGUUGCUUGCUAGCAGUCGCUUGUUUUGUGGUGCUAUCCAUUCCAUCGUUUGCCUAUGUUGCGCUAAAGAUAACCUCGAAAGAUGAUGGCUCAUUAGAUAAUGGACACAUUGCAGCGCUCUGGGCUGGUACUAUAGCCUCGAUAAAUGGUACAUGUAACUGCCUAAUCUUUUACUGGAAAAACAAGAUUUUACGUGCCGAAGGAACGAAAGUCGCUAAAAGCCUGGUAUACCAUUAUACUGAACAAUAAAAAAAACAGGAAAAAUUCAGCAACGAAAAAUAUAUUUGGCUUGAAGAGAGGGGAAAAAAUGUAAAACUGAUGAAACCAGGCAACUUAAAACAGAUGGCUAUAAAGUAGCCAUGCAGCAGCUGCUGGACUUCUAAUAUACUGAACUAUAUAAAUCUUUGAAUAGGGGCUAUAUAUCUAAAU